CUUUAUGGGUGUCAAUUAAUUUAAUUAUUAUUUCUUUGUAUUUUGUAUUAUUCAGUAUACUGUUAUUUAUCUUAAAGAAUCCUUUGCCUUUAUUUUGACCUUUAAGUCUUAUUUGUAAAGAGAUCGCUUGAUGAUCUGUAUGAGAUAUAAGUGCAGGUCUUAUGUCUGCAGAUAUUAUGUGAGGUCUUAUAUCUGGGCUUAUUAGAAAAAAAUCUAUUCUACUUGCAACACUUUUAUUGUUUUUUCUUCUCCAUGUAAACUGGCUGGUGUUUUGAUUUAGUUCUCUCCAAAUAUCAAUAAGUUUAUAUUUUUUUAUUAGUUGCUUUAAACUGUUGACAGGUUUAUUUUGAUUAUUAGAGCUAAUACUUUUUCUAUAAUAUGAAGUUAAACUUCCAUUCAUGUCACCGCCCAUUAUUAAUAUUCCUAAGCGGUUAUUAUUAAUGAUAUUGUUUACUUUUUUGAAAAAUGUGUUUCUAAUUCGACGAAUGUUCGGAGCAUACACAUUCAGUAGUGUAAAAAUAUUACCAUCAAGUUCUAUAUUAAUGAGUAUUAUUCUUCCAUCAUUAUCUCUAAUUUCAUUUAUAGUUUUAUGUUUUAUGUUCUCUUUGAUAAGAAUUGAUACACCUCUCGAUUGUGAAUUUCCGAAACUAUGGUACAGUUUGCCUUUUAUCUCAUUGUUUAUACCAUUUUCGUUUUUUUUUAAUAAAAUGUGAUUCUUGUAUAAAUAGAAUAUUACACUUUUGAUUUUUGCACCAUAGGUUUAAUCUUUC
rnacentral:lncRNA from 1 species